UUUUUCUCUCAAGGACAAGCUGUGAUGGGGAGCGAAAUUUAGUAGCGAAGUUCCUGAUGUCACACUGCCAAGAAAAGCUUCUAGUGAGAAAGUAACUGCCCGUACCGCAAACCGACACAGGUAGUUGAGGAGAGAAUCCUAAGGUGUGCGAGAGAACUCUCGUUAAGGAACUCGGCAAAAUGACCCCGUAACUUCGGGAGAAGGGGUGCUGACCGCAAGGUCAGCCGCAGUGAAUAGGCCCAAGCGACUGUUUAUCAAAAACACAGGUCUCUGCAAAAUCGAAAGAUGACGUAUAGGGGCUGACGCCUGCCCGGUGCUGGAAGGUUAAGAGGAGAGGUUAGCGCAAGCGAAGCUUUGAAUUGAAGCCCCAGUAAACGGCGGCCGUAACAAUAACGGUCCUAAGGUAGCGAAAUUCCUUGUCGGGUAAGUUCCGACCCGCACGAAAGGCGUAACGAUUUGGGCACUGUCUCAACGAGAGACUCGGUGAAAUUAUAGUACCAGUGAAGAUGCUGGUUACCCGCGACAGGACGGAAAGACCCCAUGGAGCUUUACUGCAGUCUGAUAUUGCGUGUUUGUAUCACAUGUACAGGAUAGGUAGGAGCCGAAGAUACCGGGACGCCAGUCUCGGAGGAGGCAACGGUGGGAUACUACCCUUGUGAUAUGACCACUCUAACCCGCUGCUCUUAGCGAGCAGGGAGACAGUGUCAGACGGGCAGUUUGACUGGGGCGGUCGCCUCCAAAAAUGUAACGGAGGCGCCCAAAGGUUCCCUCAGAAUGGUUGGAAAUCAUUCGUAGAGUGUAAAGGCAGAAGGGAGCUUGACUGCGAGACCUACAAGUCGAGCAGGGACGAAAGUCGGGCUUAGUGAUCCGGUGGUUCCGCAUGGAAGGGCCAUCGCUCAACGGAUAAAAGCUACCCUGGGGAUAACAGGCUUAUCUCCCCCAAGAGUUCACAUCGACGGGGAGGUUUGGCACCUCGAUGUCGGCUCAUCGCAUCCUGGGGCUGUAGUCGGUCCCAAGGGUUGGGCUGUUCGCCCAUUAAAGCGGUACGCGAGCUGGGUUCAGAACGUCGUGAGACAGUUCGGUCCCUAUCCGUCGCGGGCGUUGGAAAUUUGAGAGGAGCUGUCCUUAGUACGAGAGGACCGGGAUGGACACACCGCUGGUGUACCAGUUGUUCUGCCAAGAGCAACGCUGGGUAGCUAUGUGUGGACGGGAUAAACGCUGAAAGCAUCUAAGCGUGAAGCCCCCCUCAAGAUGAGAUUUCCCAUCACUUUAAGUGAGUAAGACCCCUGAGAGAUGAUCAGGUAGAUAGGUUGGGAGUGGAAGUACAGCGAUGUAUGGAGCGGACCAAUACUAAUCGGUC
rnacentral:rRNA from 1 species